AGAAUCAACGCUGGCGGCGUGCCUAACACAUGCAAGUCGAUCGAGAAAGUGGAGCAAUCCAUGAGUAAAGAGGCGCACGGGUGAGUAACACGUGACUAACCUACCCUCGAGUGGGGAAUAACCUGGGGAAACCCGGCUAAUACCGCAUAAUACCCACGGGUCAAAGGAGCAAUUCGCUUGAGGAGGGGUCGCGGCAGAUUAGUUAGUUGGCGGGGUAAUGGCCCACCAAGACGAUGAUCUGUA
rnacentral:rRNA from 1 species